UUUUUCCUACGGGGCGCAGCAGUGAGGAAUAUUGGUCAAUGGUCGGGAGACUGAACCAGCCAAGCCGCGUGAGGGAGGAAGGUACAGAGUAUCGUAAACCUCUUUUGUCAGGGAACAAAGGCGGGGACGUGUCCCCGGAUGAGUGUACCUGAAGAAAAAGCAUCGGCUAACUCCGUGCCAGCAGCCGCGGUAAUACGGAGGAUGCGAGCGUUAUCGGGAUUUAUUGGGUUUAAAGGGUGCGCAGGCGGUCUGUUAAGUCAGCGGUCAAAGCCCGGGGCCCAACCCCGGCCCGCCGUUGAAACCGG
rnacentral:rRNA from 1 species